rnacentral:lncRNA from 1 species
CUUCCGGGUCGUCUCCAGGGACAGGUACUCCACCCAGCUCUUCUUGUCCUGGUAGUUCUUGGACUCAUCCACGAUCUUCUGAAACAUCGCUCUCUUCCUGAACCCAGGGAACAAGGGAGGUGCAGGUGGGAGCAAGUGUGGAGACCCCGCCCCAAGCGCCCGUCUGCAGGGAGGCGCGGAGCCCGAGCGAGGCCCCAUCCGGGGUGCGCGGGGCCGGCGGGCAGGGACGGAAUCCGGGGCUGCGUCCCCCGGGCUGUGCCGCCGCUGCGCCCCCGUGUCUGCCGGGGGUCCCAGGCUACCCGCCCGCCCCGCGAGGCGCCCCCUCCCGGAAGGCGCGCACUUGAAGUACAGGGCCAGGUCCGUGGCGAUGAUGGCGAUGUCCAUCAGGUGGAUCACGUGCUCGUGCUGCCGCCGGUUCAGGUUCUGGUAGAUGUUCAGGGUCUGCGGAGGUUAUGCCCAGCGCGUCAGGCGCCCUGCGGCCACCUCUCAGGGUGCCCGGGGACCCCGCCCCUUCCGCCUCGGCUGCCUGUGCCUCUCACGCCCCCGCCCUCGGGCCCUCGGUGGGCGGGACCCCUAAUCCGCCUGCUGCUCAGGGCCCUCCUCAGGGUGCCCAGCUCUCCACCAGCGGCUCCAUCGUCGGCUUGGGACGCAGAUGGCCUCAGAGGUCACCACCGGGGAGCGCAGGGAGGGGUCCACUGAGUGUCCAGGUCCUUGGGGGCCGCUCAGGGCUCGGCUGCCCUUCAUUCCCCCGCUGGUGGGUCCCGGGCCGCUUCCCCUUCGGCUUCCACCCCACCCCAUGAGGGGCCCUUUCCAGUUGUCUUCCCCACAAGCGUUUUCCCAGGGCCUCCGAUGCACCUGCCCUCAGCCUCGGCCCUCCGCCUUCUCUGCCGCCCUCCCCCAGUGCUCACACACCCAGUGCUCACCCGCUGCAUCAGAACCCUGCUCCGCAGGAUACGGCCCUGCCGUCCUGCGGACGCUGCGUCCCCAGCGCCCACAGCAGAAACCGAGGGUGAGUAUACCAACCUCCUCCGAGAGCAGGAACUUCCCAAACUCCAGGUGGUGCCGCUCCAAAAUCGAGGAGCCGUGGAGCUUAGCCAAGGGGUUCUGGGACCUGUUACACAGGUGGUGGAGGUGAGGCCCGUGGGACCUGCCCUUGGCCCACCCUGCGCUCUGCAGCCCCCCCAGAUGGGCCCCACUUUCUUUUUUUUGAGACAGGGUCUGCCUCUGUCACCCACUCUGGAGUGCAGUGGUGCAAUCAUGGCUCAAUACAGCCUUGACCUCCUGGGCUCAAGUGAUCCUCCCACCUCAGCCUCCUAAGUAGCUGGGACCACAGGUGUGCGCCACCAUACACAGCUUUUUUUUUUUUUUUUUUUUUUAAGUUUUUGUAGAGGAGAGCUCUUGCCAUGUUGCCCAGGCUGGUCUCGAACUCCUGGGCUCAAGCAAUCCCCUCGCCUUGGCCUCCCACAGUGCUGGAGUACGGGGCCUGGCCGUGGACUCCACUUUCUACAUAGCCUGCUAUGCGAAGCCUAAUUCACGCCAAGGGCGUGGAGUUGAUUUAGGGCUAAUUCACAUGCCCGCCCUGAGGUGCCUACUUCAUCUGGUACAGGUUGUUGGUGCCGCGGUGGUCGAUGUCAUGGCACAGGCCGGCUGUCACCAUGGCGAAGGCCUCCAGGUCCGUGUAGUAGCUCUUCAGUUUGCCGGUCUGUAGAGACAGGGCCACCUUGCUCACCGGUCCUGGCUCCAGCAGGGUGGGGAGUGGUGAGGGGUUGGGAUGACCUAGGCGUCGGGUUGGAGGUUGGACCUCCGACCACCGCAGGGCUGGGGUGCGCGGUGCACGGUGUCAGAGGGCGUUGCCCUCCUCCAUCCUUCUGCCCUGGGAGGACCCCCAUCUCAUCCCUCGGGGUGCUUGAGUGCUGCCCUUGGUACCAGGAGGGCCUGCACAACCCUGGUGAUUCUGGCAGCCACGUACCAUGAGCAGCGUGAACAUCGUCUGGGCCACGUUGAAGCCGUGGCGCCAGUUGUGGUAGGUGAUUCUCCGGUACCCUUUGCUGAUGGAGAACAGGAACCGCACCAGGACCUGGGGGAGCCGAGAGGACACAGGGCUCCGGCGGCAAGCGUGUAAGUCCCGCCAGAGCGGCACCUGUGGCUGACUUCACAGUGGAAGCCCUGCUCCGUGCCAUCAUCCCCACACCGUCUCCUGGACUUCCCGAUCUUCCCCAUCCCUGCGUUUCCCACUGGCCUCUGCUGGCCUUCCUGGGUAGGGGCUGCCACAUUGGCACCUAUGGGGUGGAGCCAGGUAGGGCAGGAGCUGAGAACAGCCCCAGCCUUCAGGGGCCGCCCAGCCUCCAUCCGACUGCCUGGCCUCAAGCUGGGAGGAGGACCCCUGGGGAUGCAGCAUAUUUUAAGAUGUUGGUUUUAGGCAUGGACAUUUGAAUGAGCAGAAUGUGUGGGCUGCAGGCUGGGGUGGGAGAACCGAUGUCCGCAGGGCAAGAGAAUGCUGGUCUCUCUUGCCCUGCGGACAUCGCCAGGAGGCUCUUCCUGCGGCCAUUGUGAUUUUUAGGGUCAGAAAAUUAUUUGGAAAUAUUUUUUAUUCUGCAAAUAUUUUCUAUACAUUUUUUCUUGAGUGUUUUCCCUUAGUAUUUAGUAAAACUUCUUUUGAAAAUGCUGGCCUGCUGCACCUGUUCUCAGAGGGGCAUGAGAAAAGAGGAUUCUCUUCCUAGGGCUGUGGGAAGCCCCUUGAGAUGUUGGAAGCAGGGCAGGGCAGGAGAACCCAGGGAGGGCACAGAGCUGUGGACGAGGGCUGGGAAAGCCAUCCCGCCUCCCCAGGGGGUCUCCGAGGAGUGCUGCUGUGGCCAAACCAGGGGGGCCACUUUGUGCUUUCUGUUUAGGUGAUGGGAUGCUUCUAUCUCCUCAGCACCCCACACCAAAUCCCCUGUUAUUGCCAGAUGAUGUGCCUAAUGAUCAAAUUGCUUGGAACUCCUAAUAAUAAAACUUUAAAUCUAUCCAUUCACCAUCCAUCUGCUGUCCACCCAUCCAUUCACCCAUUCAUUGACCCAUCUAUUAAUUCAUUAAUUGACCCACCUACUCAUCUAUCACUCAUCCACCCACUUCUCCAUCCAUCCACCUAUCCAUUCACUUAUCCAACCAUCUAACUACCAUUGGCCCACUCACCCAUCCAUCCAUUUAUCCAACCAUCCAACUACCAUUGGCCCACCCACCCAUCCAUUUAUCCAACUAUCCAACUACCAUUGGCAUCCACCCAUCCAUUCAUUUAUUCUUCCUUUGUUUCUUUCUGCUUGCCUGUUGGCCUUCCUUCCUUCCUAACCUCCCUCCUUCCUCCCUGCUUUUCACCCAUCCAGCCAUCCAUCAAUCCAGCCAUCCACCCAGCCAUCCAAUUAUUUGUUUUAUGCUUACUUCCCGUGUGCAUUUUACCUGUUCUGUGAUGAACAUGUCGGCCCUCUAAACUUCCUGUGGGAUCUGGAACCCCCAAUCCCAUCCCCCUCACCUUCUGGGGCACCUGAGGCCCUGAUCACAUCCCCACCCCCAUGUCCUGGGCGGCCUCAGGGACCUGACUAUGCGCCCUGCGGUGUCUCCCACCUCCUGGGGGAUCUGGAACUUUCGGACCACGCCCAGCUCGUAGUACAUCUGGAUGCCACAUUUGACCAGGUCCAGUUCGGUGCACUCCAGGUCAGAGAAGUGGAAUUCGUAGAUGUCAAAUGUGGUGGGCCCUGGCAGCUCCUCCUUCUGUGGGAGGGAUUGUGGGCUGAGGGAGGUUGGCCUGCCACAGCCCCCACUUGCUUCUCAUCCUUUCUUCUCUCCAGAUCCCCUGCCAAGCCUCAGACACCUCAGGCAUCUCUGAGGAGAUGUGUCAUUCCUGGCGCUCCAGCCUGUAUCCCAGGCUGCUCACACGCCCCCCUGGCUCAGCCUCACUCUCCCCUCUUGUACCCUGUGGCCCAACAGUGAAGAACUUGCCCAGUUGGGUGGACAGGGUGAUGUUGUUGAGACAAGAAAACACAAAGGUGUGCACAUGAAAAGAAACACACACACACACGGAUACAGACACACGUGACACAGGCACACCUGGAUACACGGCCACUCCCAUGAAUACAAAGGCACCGGUGUGGACACACAGGCACACACAUGAGCACCCAGGCACACCCACAGACAUGCAGGCACACACGUGCAGACUCACGCAUGUAGGCUCACACACACAGCCAUGAGGUAACACACACAACAGUGGACUUUCAGACCCACCAGGCACAUUCCCAUGCUCAGUCCAAGGCCUACUCACAAGGCUCGUGGCCCCGGGAGAUUCUGGCUAAAUUGCAUAGGCAGACACAGGGUGAUGGGGACACCACAUAAUCCCCACAUUGAUCCAGCAAUCGUCUCUAGGAGACACACACAAGCAUGUGUCUAUAUAUAUCCAUGUGCACACACAUGCACACACAAUACACACCCCCUGUGCACAUGUGAGCACACACACAUGGGUGCACACACGGGCACACACACACAAACGCCCAUGUGCACACACAUGCACACACAUACUCGUGGGCACACAUGUGCACACACAUGUGUACACAUGUGCACAUUCAUACAAUGCACACACGCACACACAUACCCACAUGUGCACACACACACCCACAUGUGCACACAUGUACACACCUGUGCAGACGCCCACGUGUGCACACACACCUACAUGCACACACACGUACACACUUGUGCACACACAGACACCCACAUGUGCACACACAUGCACACAGACACCCAUGUGCGUGCACACAUGCGGAUGCACACACACUGGGAGUUGCAGGCACCUAGGCACUCUGAGAGCAGAGAUGACAUAGAUGGACACAGAGUCCAAGUCAGGCCCACUAAACAUCCGGUGAAAACUAAACAUCUGGCAAAGCACAGAGGAGACAGGAAGACACGAAGAUACACUCAGGAGUGCAGACAUCAAAGCCACAUUCUGGCCAUGCAAACACACUCAGGGACACACUGGCUGAGACUGAAAGCCAGGCUUAUGUACACACACGUACACUAAGGUGCUUAGAUACACAAGUAUACACACACAGCACCAACAUCCCUGAUGACCGUGUGUGCAAAGCACCGUCGGGUCCCGGAGAAUGCAGAACUCUUCCUCCCAGCCUCACACGUGGCCGGCCUCCAUGGGAGGGACGGGAGCAAGGUUCUUACCAGGAUUUCGCCCAGCUCGUCCUCAUCGCAGUCAGCAGGCUCCUUCCCCAGGCGCGCUCUGGUUGGCUACACAGAGACACAGAUGUGUCACGAGAAAGAGCUUCGCAUGUGGGACAAGGUGACGGCGGUGCGUCCACCCCGUGUGAGCUAGAGGAAGGUGCUGUCAAGAGCUUGUGCUUUCACCCUGGGAAGGCCCUGGCGGCCUCUGAUCUGGAGAC